rnacentral:rRNA from 1 species
AACGAACGCUGGCGGCAUGCCUAACACAUGCAAGUCGAACGAGACCUUCGGGUCUAGUGGCGCACGGGUGCGUAACGCGUGGGAACCUGCCCUUAGGUUCGGAAUAACUCCCCGAAAGGGGUGCUAAUACCGGAUAAUGUCUUCGGACCAAAGAUUUAUCGCCUUUGGGUGGGCCCGCGUUGGAUUAGCUAGUUGGUAGGGUAAAAGCCUACCAAGGCGACGAUCCAUAGCUGGUCUGAGAGGAUGAUCAGCCACACUGGGACUGAGACACGGCCCAGACUCCUACGGGAGGCAGCAGUGGGGAAUAUUGGACAAUGGGCGAAAGCCUGAUCCAGCAAUGCCGCGUGAGUGAUGAAGGCCUUAGGGUUGUAAAGCUCUUCUACCCGGGAUGAUAAUGACAGUACCGGGAGAAUAAGCUCCGGCUAACUCCGUG